AAAUUGAAGAGUUUGAUCAUGGCUCAGAUUGAACGCUGGCGGCAGGCCUAACACAUGCAAGUCGAACGGUAACAGGAAGCAGCUUGCUGCUUUGCUGACGAGUGGCGGACGGGUGAGUAAUGUCUGGGAAACUGCCUGAUGGAGGGGGAUAACUACUGGAAACGGUGGCUAAUACCGCAUAAUGUCGCAAGACCAAAGA
rnacentral:rRNA from 2 species